AGCCUGAACGCUGGCGGCGUGGCUAAGACAUGCAAGUCGCACGGGCGUAGCAAUACGUCAGUGGCGAACGGGUGAGUAAUGAAUCGCUAACGUGCCCCGGACUCCGGGAUAGCUAUCCGAAAGGGUAGGUAAUACCGGUUGACGUACCGCUCAGGCAUCUGAGUGGUCCCAAAGGUCCGCC
rnacentral:rRNA from 1 species